rnacentral:piRNA from 1 species
UCACUUAAAAAACCCCUAAAUCUUGUGUCU